UACGUAGGCUGUUAUUUAAGUCAGAUGUGAAAGCCCCGGGCUUAACCUGGGAACUGCAUUUGAUACUGGGUAACUAGAGUCUGGUAGAGGGUAGUGGAAUUCCACGUGUAGCGGUGAAAUGCGUAGAUAUGUGGAGGAACAUCAGUGGCGAAGGCGACUGCCUGGGCCAAGACUGACGCUGAGGUACGAAAGCGUGGGGAGCAAACA
rnacentral:rRNA from 1 species